rnacentral:rRNA from 1 species
GGGCCCGCACAAGCAGCGGGAGCAUGUGGUUUAAUUCGACGCAACGCGAAGAACCUUACCUGGGCUUGACAUGUUGGUGACCGCCGUGGAAACACGGUUUUCCUUCGGGACACCAUCACAGGUGGUGCAUGGCUGUCGUCAGCUCGUGUCGUGAGAUGUUGGGUUAAGUCCCGCAACGGGCGCAACCCCCGUUCCAUGUUGCCAGCAUUCAGUUGGGGACUCAUGGGAGACUGCCGGUGACAAACCGGAGGAAGGUGGGGAUGACGUCAAGUCAUCAUGCCCCUUAUGUCCAGGGCUACACACGUGCUACAUUGGCGCAUACAAAGGGUUGCAAUACCGUGAGGUGGAGCGAAUCCCAUAAAGUGCGUCUCGGUUCGGAUUGGAGGCUGAAACUCGCCUCCAUGAAGGUGGAGUUGCUAGUAAUCGCGGAUCAGCAAUGCCGCGGUGAAUACGUUCCCGGGCCUUGUACACACCGCCCGUCACACCACGAAAGCGAGCAACACCCGAAGCCGGUGGCCUAACCGCAAGGAGGGAGCCGUCGAAGGUGGGGCCCCGUGAUUGGGGUG